rnacentral:rRNA from 1 species
CUGCUGCCUUCCGUAGGAGUUUGGGCCGUGUCUCAGUCCCAAUGUGGCCGGCCACCCUCUCAGGUCGGCUACUGAUCGUCGCCUUGGUGGGCCGUUACCUCACCAACCAGCUAAUCAGACGCGGAUCCAUCCCAUACCACCGGAGUUUUUCACACCGGACCAUGCGGUCCUGUGCGCUUAUGCGGUAUUAGCAGUCAUUUCUAACUGUUAUCCCCCUGUAUGAGGCAGGUUAUCCACGCGUUACUCACCCGUCCG